rnacentral:rRNA from 1 species
AAAUUGAAGAGUUUGAUCAUGGCUCAGAUUGAACGCUGGCGGCAGGCCUAACACAUGCAAGUCGAACGGUAGCACAGAGAGCUUGCUCUCGGGUGACGAGUGGCGGACGGGUGAGUAAUGUCUGGGAAACUGCCUGAUGGAGGGGGAUAACUACUGGAAACGGUAGCUAAUACCGCAUAAUGUCGCAAGACCAAAGAGGGGGACCUUCGGGCCUCUUGCCAUCAGAUGUGCCCAGAUGGGAUUAGCUAGUAGGUGGGGUAACGGCUCACCUAGGCGACGAUCCCUAGCUGGUCUGAGAGGAUGACCAGCCACACUGGAACUGAGACACGGUCCAGACUCCUACGGGAGGCAGCAGUGGGGAAUAUUGCACAAUGGGCGCAAGCCUGAUGCAGCCAUGCCGCGUGUAUGAAGAAGGCCUUCGGGUUGUAAAGUACUUUCAGCGGGGAGGAAGGUGUUGUGGUUAAUAACCGCAGCAAUUGACGUUACCCGCAGAAGAAGCACCGGCUAACUCCGUGCCAGCAGCCGCGGUAAUACGGAGGGUGCAAGCGUUAAUCGGAAUUACUGGGCGUAAAGCGCACGCAGGCGGUCUGUCAAGUCGGAUGUGAAAUCCCCGGGCUCAACCUGGGAACUGCAUUCGAAACUGGCAGGCUAGAGUCUUGUAGAGGGGGGUAGAAUUCCAGGUGUAGCGGUGAAAUGCGUAGAGAUCUGGAGGAAUACCGGUGGCGAAGGCGGCCCCCUGGACAAAGACUGACGCUCAGGUGCGAAAGCGUGGGGAGCAAACAGGAUUAGAUACCCUGGUAGUCCACGCCGUAAACGAUGUCGACUUGGAGGUUGUGCCCUUGAGGCGUGGCUUCCGGAGCUAACGCGUUAAGUCGACCGCCUGGGGAGUACGGCCGCAAGGUUAAAACUCAAAUGAAUUGACGGGGGCCCGCACAAGCGGUGGAGCAUGUGGUUUAAUUCGAUGCAACGCGAAGAACCUUACCUACUCUUGACAUCCAGAGAACUUUCCAGAGAUGGAUUGGUGCCUUCGGGAACUCUGAGACAGGUGCUGCAUGGCUGUCGUCAGCUCGUGUUGUGAAAUGUUGGGUUAAGUCCCGCAACGAGCGCAACCCUUAUCCUUUGUUGCCAGCGGUCCGGCCGGGAACUCAAAGGAGACUGCCAGUGAUAAACUGGAGGAAGGUGGGGAUGACGUCAAGUCAUCAUGGCCCUUACGAGUAGGGCUACACACGUGCUACAAUGGCGCAUACAAAGAGAAGCGAACUCGCGAGAGCAAGCGGACCUCAUAAAGUGCGUCGUAGUCCGGAUUGGAGUCUGCAACUCGACUCCAUGAAGUCGGAAUCGCUAGUAAUCGUAGAUCAGAAUGCUACGGUGAAUACGUUCCCGGGCCUUGUACACACCGCCCGUCACACCAUGGGAGUGGGUUGCAAAAGAAGUAGGUAGCUUAACCUUCGGGAGGGCGCUUACCACUUUGUGAUUCAUGACUGGGGUGAAGUCGUAACAAGGUAACCGUAGGGGAACCUGCGGUUGGAUCACCUCCUUACCUUAAAGAA